rnacentral:rRNA from 1 species
UAUGUGAUCGUCUCUCGCAUAUCAAUAAGCGGAGGAAAAGAAACUAACAAGGAUUCCCCUAGUAACGGCGAGUGAAGCGGGAAGAGCUCAAAUUUGAAAUCUUAAAGGGUUUCCCUUUACGAAUUGUAGUUUAAAGAAGUGUUUUCUGUUGAGGUUUUGGUAAAAGUUCUUUGGAAUAGGACAUCAUAGAGGGUGAGAAUCCCGUAUUUGACCUUUACUUUCAACUUUGUGAUACACUUUCAAAGAGUCGGAUUGUUUGGGAAUGCAGUCCAAAAUGGGUGGUAAAUUUCAUCUAAAGCUAAAUAUUGGCGAGAGACCGAUAGCGAACAAGUACCGUGAGGGAAAGAUGAAAAGAACUUUGAAAAGAGAGUUAAACAGUACGUGAAAUUGUCAAAAGGGAAGCGUUUGACACCAGUGUUGUUUUUCUGAAAAUCAAUUAAAGAACUGUUUAUGCUAAGCUGUUUAGACUUUAUCAGCUAACUGUUUAGUUUUGAGCUUUUCUUUAAUGCACUUUUCAGUUAACAAGUCAACAUCAAUUUCUCUUGCUGUAAAAAAGCUUGAGGAAGGUGGCUUGAGAUUCGUCUUAAGUGUUUAUAGCCUCUUGCCUAUGCAGUCGGAGAGAUUGAGGUCUGCAGCGUAGAUCCUUCGGGGCUAAAUGCAUUUGUGCUAAGUUAUAGCAUUUUAUAGACAACUUGUUGACUAUGAUUUGUCUUGUAGCUUACUCGCUUAUGUUAUUUUACCUACGCUUAGGAUGUUGAUCUACAGAGCGAGAGU